GAGGAUAUAGCUCAGUAGUAGAGCACUUGCCUGGCAUGCAAAGGGCCCUGGGUUCAAUCCCCAGUGCUGCCA
rnacentral:tRNA from 1 species